CACCAACCUAAGAUUGAAAGAACAUUAUUAUACUAUGUAAACUUUAGCUGUUUUGAAUAAGGAACUCCAGCCUGGGACCAAAUAGAAGAUGACUAACUUCUUGAUAGCAUGGAAAGCUACAUCAUGCUGAUGAGUCCAAUGACAUAUGACUUCUUCAUCCAGUAAUUUAUGAAGAUGCUGAAAAGCACCGGGCCCAAGACAGAAGCUUGAGAUACUCCUCAAAGAGUACAUACUCACAGAGUAUAGUAUACACUUAAGUAUACUACAGAUAGCAAAGAAAACAUACAGAUGGAUCAUUGAGCAAAUCAAUCCAGAGAUACAGCAACAAAUCAUCAGUGGUUACAGAAGCUGUUAAAACUUCCUGCAAUUUUCCAAGGCAGAUUGACAAGUGACCAAAACAGCACAUCUGGAGGCAUAUCAUUUAUCAUCAGUAUUACUAGCUCCAGUGCUCCUGAGAACAAUGCCAGUGUACAGCUCCAGAACUCCUUCAGAAUUGUGCAAUCUAUUCAUGUCUUCCCUAUUCACAUUUCUCAUAAUUUCUCCCUCUACUGCUCUUAAGCUUUUCAGGUAUCCCUGAUACUUUUUCCCCCCUUGCUCCAAGUGAAAAACAUUUAUUUUGCUUGGAGAUAACCCUAACUUAGAGUUUCUUGCUCAGUAUCAGAAGGGUGGUGUCAACCAUAUUCAUGGGUUAAUUAGAGUCCAUGGAACCAGAACUGAACUCGGAGAAUAUUUUCCUGAUUAGUUUUGGUACUCCUAGAUGUUAUUUAUUCCUGGGGCAAUUGUGUUAAAUAUAAUGUGGAAUUAAGGCCUUGCAUUUUUAGUACUUCAUCUGGGGGCAGGGUGGAACCAGAUACAUUAAAAAAAACAAUAUAAAAUUGCUAUGAUUAUGUGACUUAAAUUAUACUUGUUUUUACAUACCUUGCAUGCAUAAAAAAACAGGCAGACCUGACAUUACACAGUCAUGGCCACUAUCUUCAUUUUUUUUUUAAUCAGAUACUGCAGACACCCCUAGAUCCAUCUUUACAGCAACUUCAAUAUUCGUGAUUAAUGCAGGUUUCUAUAUAUCUAUCAUUGAGAUAGGCAUCAUUUUAUUACAUUAUAUUAGAGGCUUGCAAACAUUCCCUUUCUUCAAACCACUAUAUAAUUAUCAAAGGCUUUUAAGAAUGACCACAUAUGCAGGGUCAGCACUGGGAUACUUCCAGGCACCACCAGGCAUUUCUGUACAACUUCAAAUACCUACCAAGACUCCCAAAUAAAAUUAAAAUAAUAUUUAUAGAUUGUUUUAAUAUAAUCUACCCACACACCCAUCACACACCAGAUUUUGGCAUAAAUAUACAGUAGGUAUCCUUUUGGUGGUGCAAUGCUAGAGAAAGAGGCAAAAAUGAAUGUAAUUUUCAUGGAAAUUAAAGACUUAAAUAAAAUUUAUCAACUAAAUACUCAUAGAAUUUAAUACAAAAAGCUGGAAUACUUGUACUAUUCCACAUAGACAUUCCCAAAAGAUUCACUCUUUUCUUUUAUUUCAUGCCUUUAAUUUGUUUUGCUUUCUAUUUCUGACUUCUUUUCUGCACAUUAUUUUUCUACACAUUAUUUUGUGUAAUGUUGCUUAUGGAAAAGAGAAUAUUGUGAGGAUGAAGAUGUCAACAGUGACAGCAAAGUAGAGAUUGACAAGGGAAGUGAAUGGGAGACAUAUAUUUCCCUUUUCUUUUUGCUCCCCUUUCUUUCAGUCCAAUUUAUUCCUCAACCAGGGAAACAGCUUGUGAAAGAACACAGGCACAGUAAAGAAACAGAAAGAUUGCCACAGAUGCUUUUGCUAAGAAAUGUAGCAAGGAAAGGUCCAAAAACAUGGAGAGCAAGGUAGGCAUCACCAUGACCUGCAAAAUGUGUACAAUGUUUGUCUGCUCUUAAAAGGAGCCAACUAUAACUGCUUCAAAUGUAGGAUAGUCCUUUCUUUUCUUCAUUGAGAAAGCAUGAAGUGCUGCAUUGAAAUGAAUCCAGAAAAGACAAGAGUGUUGUGGAGAAGACAGCCAACCUCUGCAAGAAGACAGAGAAGUGAAGAGAAUUCCAAUCUUUCUCCUCUCCUUCAGCAAAGACAAGCAGGAAGAUAAGAGUCAAUUGUUAACAGUGGAACUCAGGAACCAGAAUCUCCU